rnacentral:rRNA from 1 species
AUUGAACGCUGGCGGCAGGCCUAACACAUGCAAGUCGAGCGCGAAAGUCUUCGGAUGAGUAAAGCGGCGGACGGGUGAGUAAUGCAUGGGAAUCUGCCUGGUAGUGGGGGACAACGUUUCGAAAGAGACGCUAAUACCGCAUACGCCCUACGGGGGAAAGGGGGGGAUCCUCGGACCUCUCGCUAUCAGAUGAGCCCAUGUCAGAUUAGCUAGUUGGUAGGGUAAAGACCUACCAAGGCGACGAUCUGUAACUGGUCUGAGAGGAUGAUCAGUCACACUGGAACUAAGACACGGUCCAGACUCCUACGGGAGGCAGCAGUGGGGAAUAUUGGACAAUGGGGGCAACCCUGAUUCAGCCAUGCCGCGUGUGUGAAGAAGGCCCUAGGGUUGUAAAGCACUUUCAGUGGGGAGAAAGGUAAUUCACCUAAUACGUGAGUUAAUUGAUGCUACCCACAGAAGAAGCACCGGCUAACUCCGUGCCAGCCGCCGCUGUAA